CAAUUUCAGAGGAUAUAACUAAACCACCUGUGGUUUACCACUGAUCUUUACCAUAAAUCAGAAGAAUGAUGAAAAUUAUGGAAAAAGAGAUUAUUAUCAAACCUUCAGAGUCAAGUUAGAUGUACUAGAUGAGUCUGACUUCUGGAUGGACUUCAGAAGAUCCUUGAGAGCAAGAUGCUUUGGCAGGCUGACCUUCGUCUGAAACACACAGAUAUAAGAAUUGUACAUGACCUUGCAUCUUGUCUCAACACAGUGU